rnacentral:lncRNA from 1 species
GAGACCACCACAGUGACUUGUAAGCAACUCAUUGUACUUUAGUAUCGGACUAUCUGAGUUUCUAACUUAGUAACGGAAGAAUACUAGGUGCAGUCAAGUACUUAUUAAGUCGGUGUGUGAGUCAAGAUGGAAUUGAUCUCUCUGAAUUGGUAGGAGAUAUGCAUCAGUAUAUUUUAAUUUAGCAAAACUUUGGUCAGGAUAAUUCAUGAGAUGGAUUUAAAAGG